rnacentral:rRNA from 1 species
AGCAGUGGGAAUAUUGCACAAUGGGGGAAACCCUGAUGCAGCCAUGCCGCGUGUGUGAAGAAGGCCUUCGGGUUGUAAAGCACUUUCAGUAGGGAGGAAGGUAGUGUAGUUAACACCUGCACUAUUUGACGUUACCUACAGAAGAAGCACCGGCUAACUCCGUGCCAGCAGCCGCGGUAAUACGGAGGGUGCGAGCGUUAAUCGGAAUUACUGGGCGUAAAGCGCAUGCAGGCGGCCUGUUAAGUCAGAUGUGAAAGCCCGGGGCUUAACCUCGGAAUUGCAUUUGAAACUGGCAGGCUAGAGUCUUGUAGAGGGGGUAGAAUUUCAGGUGUAGCGGUGAAAUGCGUAGAGAUCUGAAGGAAUACCAGUGGCGAAGGCGGCCCCCUGGACAAAGACUGACGCUCAGAUGCGAAAGCGUGGGGAGCAAACAGGAUUAGAUACCCUGGUAG